AACGAACGCUGGCGGCAUGCCUAACACAUGCAAGUCGAACGAGACCUUCGGGUCUAGUGGCGCACGGGUGCGUAACGCGUGGGAACCUGCCCUUAGGUUCGGAAUAACUCCCCUAAAGGGGUGCUAAUACCGGAUAAUGUCUUCGGACCAAAGAUUUAUCGCCUUUGGAUGGGCCCGCGUUGGAUUAGCUAGUUGGUAGGGUAAAAGCCUACCAAGGCGACGAUCCAUAGCUGGUCUGAGAGGAUGAUCAGCCACACUGGGACUGAGACACGGCCCAGACUCCUACGGGAGGCAGCAGUGGGGAAUAUUGGACAAUGGGCGAAAGCCUGAUCCAGCAAUGCCGCGUGAGUGAUGAAGGCCUUAGGGUUGUAAAGCUCUUUUACCCGGGAUGAUAAUGACAGUACCGGGAGAAUAAGCUCCGGCUAACUCCGUG
rnacentral:rRNA from 1 species